UGGGGAAUAUUGGACAAUGGGCGAAAGCCUGAUCCAGCAACGCCGCGUGGAGGAUGAAGGCCCUCGGGUCGUAAACUCCUGUCAGGUGGGACGAAAAGGUGUCGGUAAAUAGCCGGCGCCGUUGACGGUACCGCCAGAAGAAGCCCCGGCUAACUCCGUGCCAGCAGCCGCGGUAAUACGGAGGGGGCUAGCGUUGUUCGGAAUUACUGGGCGUAAAGCGGGUGUAGGCGGAUCUUUAAGUCGGGGGUGAAAGCCCUGGGCUCAACCCAGGAAUUGCCUUCGAUACUGGAGAUCUCGAGUCUAGGAGAGGUGAGCGGAAUUCCGAGUGUAGAGGUGAAAUUCGUAGAUAUUCGGAGGAACACCAGAGGCGAAGGCGGCUCACUGGACUAGUACUGACGCUGAGACCCGAAAGCGUGGGGAGCAA
rnacentral:rRNA from 1 species